rnacentral:rRNA from 1 species
UACGUAGGCAGCGAGCGUUGUUCGGAGUUACUGGGCGUAAAGGGUCUGUAGGUGGCUUACUAAGUCAGACGUGAAAUCCCUCAGCUUAACUGGGGAGCUGCGUCUGAUACUGGAAAGCUUGAGUGCAGGAGAGGAACGCGGAAUUCCAGGUGUAGCGGUGAAAUGCGUAGAUAUCUGGAGGAACACCGGUGGCGAAGGCGGCGUUCUGGACUGCAACUGACACUGAGAGACGAAAGCCAGGGGAGCAAACGGG